rnacentral:lncRNA from 1 species
CAUCUUGCUAAGUUGUUUUUUCGUUGAUUUGAGAAUUUUAGCCUUACCUGAAAAAUGCCCAAGGUUGUGUCCCGCAGUAUAGUGUGCUCUGACACCAAAGACAAAGAAGAAUACAAUCAAGGCGCAACAACUUUGACUGUUUAUCACUGUCUAUGCGGACAGAUGGCUUUGAUUCUCGACAGUACCCUGGAAAAGCUUCCUUUGCGAAGAACAGACCAUGCAAGAGUCAUAGACGGUUCAAAACAUGCUUACAAGCUCACAUGUGAUGAUGGCGACACUGUUUUUUUAAGAAGGUACAUUUCCAUCUAACCUUGCACGGUUAUGGAUUAUAAAUACAUCCCAGUGUUUAUUAACUGCCCUAUAAGACGGUUUGCUCUGAUAAUUCCCGUAGUAGAAUCUGUUACGUACAGUGUAUCCUGAAGGUACUGAGGUCCAAUAUGGGAGAUAGCCUGAUAUUUUUCAAAUGAAUGAAUGAAUGAAGGACUUUAUUAAAGUAUCAAUAGUAUUUAGCUUGAAGAAAUCUAAUUGGGGACACUGUUUGCCCAUUAAAAUAUACCUAAGCUACAUAAUGUUAAAAAUAUUUACACUUCAAUUCAUAAUGUAUAGAAUAGAUAGACAAAUGAAUAAAUGAAUGAAGUAUAAGAACUUAGUUAAAUAAGCUUAUAAGAUAUCAAAUAUAUAUAAAUGUAAAAUUCAAAGCAGCCUAGUGGCAUAUAUCACAGCUUUUACAAUUAUUUACUAAGAGUGAUAGGUCUUUGCUCUUAAUACUGUUUUUAAAACUCAUAAAAUCAGGAUUCUUUCUAUCACUUUGUUCUAAUUUAUUCCAAAGAUGGGGCCCAAAGUAUCAUAGAGAAUGUUUUCCAUUGUGUGCCUGUGUUCCUUAGAUUAUAUAGUUUCAGGGCAGUAUUGAAUAUUUCAGUUUUAUAAGUGGGCAUAAGCCCUUUCUUACUUUAUAUGUGAAAUUGGUGAUGUUUUGAAACUGUUGUUGGUACCAACUAAGUAGACUUGCUCUUGUUAGUAACUCACUGUAGGUCUUUAAUUUGGAAGAGCCGUAUGCUUUGAGUUUCUGAAUCAUUAGUGCAGGGUGCAGAAAAUCAAAAGCUUUGCUUAUAUUGGUGUAUAGAACAGUCACAUACUCUUUAUUGUUGGCAGCCAUUUUUCAUUCCUCUGUUAGUCUUAUUAAUGUUAUUUCACAGCUAUGUGUUUUUCUGUGGCCAGACGUUUUCUGGUUAAGAUGUGGAUCCAUGGUUUUCAUGAUUUGCUUGGAAAUUAAUGAUUUUAAUAUUUUAAUAGAGUUCAGUACUGUUAUAGGUUGGUAAUUUCCCCGGUUGGUUUUAUCUCCUUUCUUGAAGACAGGGGUCCACUCCCUCAUUUUCCACAUGUUUGGCCAAUUUCCCUUCGUAGUGAUGGUGUUCUUGAGACUUGUUAAGGACAGUGCCAGACCUCUGGUAGUUAACUGUAAAACUUUUGGAGAGAUUCCAUCCCACCCUGUGGCUUUGUUUCAUUUAACAGGGUGUCAAGUUCCUAUUUUUUCCUAUUUUUUGGCCUGCCUCCUAUAUUCUCCUAUUUUUUCAUGAAAUUCCUAGUUUUUCUUAUUUUUUCAGGGUUUUACUGAGUACAUAGAAACAUCUUGAGAUAUUUGAAAUAAAAUUGCCAAUAAAAUUGAUAAAUUCUUUAAAAAACUGAAACUUCAUGUCAAAAAAGACCAGUUUGAAGCCUCUCUUAGGAAUUUUUAUGUAUCUAAUGAAAUUUGGAAUCUAGUAAUUGUUGUAGGAUGAGUUGUGCUUGGUAACAUAGGUGAUAACACUUGUUUUUGUUUAUACGACAAUGCAUUGUGGAUGUAUGCCAUGGUGCCUGUUAAAUAUUAAAGUAUUGAGUUGUGGAA